rnacentral:rRNA from 1 species
UAUGUCCUACGGGGCGCAGCAGUGGGGAAUAUUGCACAAUGGGGGAAACCCUGAUGCAGCAACGCCGCGUGAAGGAAGACGGUUUUCGGAUUGUAAACUUCUGUUCUUAGUGAAGAAGAAUGACGGUAGCUAAGGAGCAAGCCACGGCUAACUACGUGCCAGCAGCCGCGGUAAUACGUAGGUGGCAAGCGUUGUCCGGAAUUACUGGGUGUAAAGGGAGCGCAAGCGGGAAGCCAAGUCAGCUGUGAAAACUACGGGCUUAACUUGUAGACUGCAGUUAAAACUGGUUUUCUUGAGUGCAGUAG